rnacentral:rRNA from 1 species
CCUACGGGCCGCACCAGUGGGGAAUAUUGCACAAUGGGCGCAAGCCUGAUGCGGCCAUGCCGCGUGUAUGAAGAAGGCCUUCGGGUUGUAAAGUACUUUCAGCGGGGAGGAGGGUGUUGAGGUUAAUAACCUCAGCAAUUGACGUUACCCGCAGAAGAAGCACCGGCUAACUCCGUGCCAGCAGCCGCGGUAAUACGGAGGGUGCAAGCGUUAAUCGGAAUUACUGGGCGUAAAGCGCACGCAGGCGGUCUGUCAAGUCGGAUGUGAAAUCCCCGGGCUCAACCUUGGAACUGCACUCGAAACUGGCAGGCUAGAGUCUUGUAGAGGGGGGUAGAAUUCCAGGUGUAGCGGUGAAAUGCGUAGAGAUCUGGAGGAAUACCGGUGGCGAAGGCGGCCCCCUGGACGAAGACUGACGCUCAGGUGCGAAAGCGUGGGGAGCAAACAGGAUUAGAUACCCCUGUAGUC